UUUUUGGAGAGUUUGAUCCUGGCUCAGAACGAACGCUGGCGGCGUGCUUAACACAUGCAAGUCGAACGGGUUUUUGCAGAACACCGCAGAGACUAGUGGCAAACGGGUGAGUAAUGCGCAGGUCAACAACCGUCAAGAGGGGGAUAACCAGCCGAAAGGCUGACUAAUACCCCGUAAGACCACGGUCGCACUAGGCGACAGAGGUAAAAGCUUUAUCGCAAGAUAAGGCGCUUGAUGACGUACCUGCGUCCUAUCAGGCAGUUGGUGAGGUAACGGCCCACCAAACCGAUGACGGGUAUCCGGCCUAAAAGGGUGAACGGACACACUGGAACUGAGACACGGUCCAGACUCCUACGGGAGGCAGCAGUGGGGAAUUUUGCACAAUGGGCGAAAGCCUGAUGCAGCGACGCCGCGUGGAGGAUGAAGGUUCUUUGAAUCGUAAACUCCUUUUACAGGGGACAAAGGGGCAGGGAAUAGAGAGUAGAUUGUAGCGGCGAAUGUAAAUUCGCUAAAUUCGUCGGCUUACGCCGGCCGCUACUACUAUUUUCUAUUCUCUGCCUUUGAUGGUACUCUGUGAAUAAGCAUCGGCAAACUACGUGCCAGCAGCCGCGGUAAUACGUAGGGAGCGAGCGUUGUUCGGAUUUACUGGGCGUAAAGAGCGCGUAGGCGGGUGUGCAAGUCGGUUGUGAAAUCCUCUGGCUCAACCAGAGA
rnacentral:rRNA from 1 species